UUGAAACAAAUUAUGUUUCAGUCUUUAUUUAGAAUGUAUUUGGUGUUAAAGCACAAACCACUUUCAAACUGAGGUCAGACCUCCGGGCAACCCACAAGAAUGUACUGGAUUUUUAGAUAGCAUUUAUUCUAUCCAGUUGAGAAACCCUGAAGGAAAUACACUCAGCUAACCAACUAAUAGUUUGGUUAAUCACAUUGUCUGUAAGUCAUAAAACUUCAGCUUUCUGAGGGGAAAAGGUUCCAGUCACUUCUUGAGUUACUUUGUCCAUUUUACCAGCACGAAUUUCUAGGCUGCCCAGAGAAGCUGUGGCUGCCCCUGGAUCCCUGGAAGUGUCCGUGGCCUGGCUGGACAGGGCUUGGAGCAACUUGGAACAGUGGAAGAUGUCCCUGCCCAUGGCAGGGGGUUGGAACUGGAUGAUCUUAAAGGUCCCUUCCAAGCCAGGCCAUUCUGUGAUUCUAUGGGCUCUGCAGGACAAGACCAGUGUGGUCCCAGCUGGAAGCGGGUGCUGACAUCUCUCACUGCUUUGCCUUGGAAAGUGCUGCUUUAAACCAGUCCUUGGAACCAGCUCGCCUUUGCUGAUGGUUACUCCGGGGUGUGAUUUGGCUGCCCAACCUUCUCACUGACUUGUGAGUAAUGUCUUUUAUCCAUCCAUAUAUAAGUAUCAAUGUAUUGAUAUUACUCUGAGCAAAGUGCUGCUGCCAAUCAGUGUUAACUGAGCUGAUGUAACCAGAGUGAACAUCACCAAGCAUUCUGUGCUCUGCAAAGGGGCAAACUUGGUCCGUCCUCUGGUCCCAGUGUGGAGGACUCGGGGUGCAGCUGCAGUGGAGCUGCAGGCUGAGCUCUGGAGAAGCCCAGCUGAGACAAGAGGCUGGCAAUUGCCAGUCCUUCGCCCAGCACAGCGCCCUGUGGCACCGGGCAGGGGAUGGACACUCAGAGACACGGCAGGAGAUGAAAACCCAGACCUUCCUACCCUUAAUCUGUGAGGGUGUAAAAGUGCAGGGGUUCCCUUGUGCUGCGUCCCUCCUGGAAGGCCACCAGCUCGGGCUGUUGUUUUGUCAUUUAGUAAUUGCACCGCGACCGAAGUAUGUUACGGAACUGGAUCUGAGACUCUGGGAAUUGAGCCAGUAAGGAAACCCGGUCUGACUGUGAGUGCGGGGGAUGCAGCUGGGAAGGGGCUUCUGUCCCAGCUCAGGCGCUGCGAAUGUCACUCAAAGUGGCUCCGGGAUGCUUAGACCAGGACGUUUCCUUAACACCAGCGUCACGAGACGCUGCGAAGCCCAGAUUUUAAGGUGAAAGCCUCCUGAUUGCAAUUGCAGAGUGAGAAUGCGGAACCAUUUCGGGUGCAGCAGUCCAGGUGUAAACCUCACACUGCCACGCCCACCACUGAACGCUGUCCGCAGGCGCCACAUCCACGGGGCGCUCAAGUGCCACCAGGGCCGGUGACUGCACCGCUGCCCUGCAGCCUGUCUGAACGCCGCUUAACCCUUUGGGAGAAGAAUUUCUUCCCGAUGUCCAGCCCGAGCCUCCCGUGAGGCCGUUCCCUCUCGUCCUGUCGCUUGUGCCGUGGGAGCUGCGCCAGCUGUCCCCUACCAUCACGGAGCCGUAAACCCUUCCCGGAUCCUCCUUUUCAGCCGGGAGCCGCCUCCGGUGACGUCAGAGCGUGACGCGGGGCGGGCUCAUGACGUCACGGCGCGGCGCGCGGCGCCGCAGUGCGGGUGGUGCGACGUGCGCUCAGCUGCGCUCAGCCUGCCCACAUCUGGGCACAUCUGGGCACAUCUGUGCUCACCUGGGCACGCGUCUGCGUUCGCCUGCGCUCACCUGAGCUGCCGUGCGCCAUGGUUCGGUUCGGGCUGACGGUCGUGCGGCAUGGAGAAACAAGAUACAACAAAGACAAGAUACUGCAAGGUCAAGGAGUGGAUGAGCCACUCUCUGCAACUGGUUUCAGGCAAGCAGAUGCUGCUGGUUUAUUUCUCAGUAAUGUGAAGUUUACCCAUGUCUUUUCAAGUGAUCUCCUUCGAGCAAAGCAGACUGCUGCUGCCAUUCUAGGGAAAAACAGGUUUUGCAAAGAUUUGGAAAUCAAGUACGAUGCAAGACUGCGAGAGAGAAAAUACGGUGUUGCAGAAGGAAGGCCUUUGGCUGACCUCAAGGCUAUGGCAAAGGAUGCUGGAGAGCAAUGUCCUUCAUUCACACCUUCUGGAGGAGAAACACUGGAUGAAGUGAGAGAGCGUGCGAGGGAUUUUUUUGAAUUCCUCUGCCAGCUGGCUGUUGAGUUGGAGCAGAAGGAGCACGGCAAACCCAGUGCCCCAGGCAGGAGCUCAGGAACAUCUGGAGAACAGUUUGUUUUCCCUUGGACGAACCACUGCAGUGAGGCGGAGCUGAGCUCUGCAGGCAGCGGAUCUUCCACGGUAUUAGAUGCCAAUAUUUUGGUGGGUAACAGAACAGCACCCACAAGAAUGAACAAACCAGGACCAGCAAAUCCCUUCCAUGGGACACACUGAGUGUCCCAAAAAUACUGGUCAGCGGGGAUACAAGAAUCAUGCUUUGGCACUCUGGACUCAGCAAAAACCUCCUGGAUUCAAAAGGCAAAUGAGAAGGUUAUUCUGACAGAAGUGAGAAAGGAAAUACAGAACUAUGAACCACCAUUCUUUACCCAGAAUCCGGCCUAACCUCCAAGGAAUAAUCUUCAAAAGAACUUGCUUCUAAAUGUUAGGGUAAGAUUACACCUUAGUGUUUAAAUGCUGUUACAUCAUAAAAUCAAGCUCUUCAACUUAUGCAACCUGAAAUAAAACUGUUUGUCCUUAUACAUAAUAAUAACAACAUAUUCUUCUAAUUCUGUGGUCCCAUAGGACAACAGUCCUGUGGUUGCUACUGUCUUCUACCACAUCCAGUACAUAGUAUGAAGUAAUAAAUUUAUUUUUAUGCAGCACUGAUGGUGUGUCCUGAGAGCUCCAUGAGGCAAAGAUACAAGAAGAGGACAGGCAUCUCUUUACUCAGCUGACCUGGUGUGAAUACCAGGGAAUAGCUCUGUAUUUUUGGGUAUAGCACUGGCAAAAAAAACCCCAGUAAAUGAGGCAUGAAAGUCUAAUGCUCAGGAUAAUACACAAGUAUAAAUUAAAUUUUCCUCUAAUAAGGGCAAAAUGAGGUACAGAUGCAAUAAACUGAUCAACUUUUAAGCUCACAGAAAUACCAGAAUGGGGUUAGAAUGUGCAAUCUCAAUCCUCUCAGAUGGAACUGCUUGUUCUUUAAAGCCCCUUUCAAACCAUUCCAUGAUAAUUUCCUCCCUUACAUUAUAUCCCCUCUCCAUAAUCACCUUCUGUGGCUUCAUUCACCUCUCAUACAACAGGAACAGUUAUUUUAUAACUCUUUCAUCACUAAGAUUUCACUGUUCAGAGCGAAUUAUUGCAGAAGAAAGGACCUCGGAUAGGACUCCCACCUGUCUGGGCAGUGCCACCUUCUAACAGUGACAUUUCUGGCACUGCAGCAGGGUAGAAGCGUCUGGCCAGGACAAGGUCUGUACAUGUGUUUAACUGCCUGCAUUCUUCUCCUCCAGUUUGUCACCAGUUCCCACAGAAGCAAACAGACACAGGUCGCAGAGCCAGUGACAAGAGGCGAAGGGCACUAAGUGAUAUCCUUGACAAAUCCAGACUCUUGGCAUAUUUUUUCCUUGCAAUAACCUCAGUUCAGACUCUGUAAAGGGCACAAGCAGUUUACAGUGGUCACCAUGAGCAAGUUAAAGAAGCUAAACAAUGGCAUUUGCUCCUCACCUCUCCCUGUAGCAAGAAUUUUUUAUUCUAUUCAGGCCACACAUAUAAUUUUACACAACAUUUUCAAGGCAUUAAAUACUGUCACCCUUCCAAGAAAUCUGCACUGCGUAUACAAAUAGAAAACCUCAUGCCCAUUAAGUCAUUUUCCUCUUAAUCUUGAAUAGCUUUUCAUGACUGAAACAGAAUUUCUAAGGUGGCUUUACACCAUAAACUGCAUCCUGUAUUCUACAGCUGCCAGGCACAGACCAAAGAGAAAGUACAGCUUAGGUCAGUCCAUCUCUAUAUUCUGCUUUUCUCCAAAGACAGCUAAAAUUCUGCUGUUAGCACCACUUCCUUGAGAAUAGGUAUGAAAAAUGGGAGUAUUAAAUGCUCUGUCACAGAUCCUCCAGAUAAAGAUUCUCUUUGGCAGGCUUAUUCAGUAUUUACAAGGGUCAAAUUUCAGCAAGCAGAAUUAAUAGUUUUCCCAUACCAUUCCUUCCAUUUUGGCUUUCCAAAACCUCAUCACUAGAGGUUGUUGGUUCAUUUCAGUAUCAAAGACCAACUGGUUCUUCAGAUGACAAGUUUAGAUGCAAUCCUCUGAGGACUGAAAACAAACAUUUCAAAAAUAAAAGGCAAAAAGCUGUGUUCUUUUGCUAGAAAUUAGUGGCAGUUUCACCUAAGUGCUACUAAAUUUAAUGGAGUCUCAUGCUUUGGCAAAAAUACAAGGCAUAAUUUUUAUUACCAAAGAGUCUCAAGGUAUAUGCAAGAUGUUUGCUUAAGAACUGCUGGUGUUCCUUGUUGGUAGAUUUACUGACUGAAGGAAAAUAUAAAACUCGUAUAAGUAGGUAACACAGACCUUUUUCUCACACAGAUAAACAUUACAACUUCUAAAAAGGAAUAGCUCUGCCACCACACCUUUCCCAGACAAAAUAGUGUUAGAGCACUUGCUUUUCUCGGACCAGAGUUUGAUUUCAGUUUAAGGCCAGCAAUGUAAAUUGAGCUGUGACAGGAUUAAUCCAGCUCCUUCUAGAGGAAUUUACAUCCUUCUUUUCUAGAACACCAAAUUAGGUCACAUUACUUGCAUGAUUCUUCUUUAGAAGCUGCUGGCAGAGGAAAAUGAAGUAUUUGACAGUUCAGCAAGAGAUGUUUGCUGGGUCACUUACAUCACUUACUCCUGCAGCAUGCAAGACUUCAUAAAAAUACUAAGCUGAGUCUGUUAAUUACACAGUGACUUUACAAUCAUCAUGAAAUGGUGAGUAUUCCUUUGGUUCUCCAUGAAAAUUUUAAAUUAUGCAGCUUCCCCAAAACAGAGCUUUUCAAUGUUUGCCUUUUUUAAGCUAAAUAACGUUUUAAAAAAGUCACUGUGAUGACAGAAAAUAAUUUGGGUGUUUAUUGGCGUCCAGAUUCUCCAGUUUCCAGUGCAGAAUUUCAGCAGUACAUAGGAAGAGGUUUCAAAGCAAAGUCUGCCAGGAUCCCCAUGAUUCCCACAGAGCAGAACUGUGGAUUUGGAAAUCCCAGCACCUGGAACCCUCACCCCCACAGCUGCUUUGCUAUGAGCCCAGUGGUUCUGGCAAUCCCAAGAAUCCCAGUUCCUGACAGGACUUCCCCUGUGUACAUGGAAAAGCUGCGUCCAGCUCCAAUAUUGUCCAUGAUGGGGGAAGAGCAGUUCCCAGCAUCCCCCUUAUCCCCCAGCACUGGGAUGCAGCGGUUGUCUGGUUGGGGUUUUUUUGACUGGAUUAAAGUUUGGCCCAAGAAAUUUCAUAGCUGCAUCUUGAGCUGUCUUCCCUGGCAUUUUUGAUUAGUCAUAAAAUGUUAAUUAAUAAGCGGCAAAUUUUAUCUGUAUAACAGCAUCCAAAACACUUUAGUGUUUCUAUCAAGUUGUUAAUAUGAUCAACUUCUCAAUGUGAAGUCUGGAAAUAAAGCAAAAAGUAUAAAAAAAAGGAAGACCUAUACUUCAAAAUUUCUAAUUGUCAUAAGUAUAAAUUAAUUAAUUUUUUAAAGUUUUAAAAAUUUUAAAAAUUUUUUGUAGAUUUUUUCCACAAUCUACAAAAUGCAACAGAGUAAAUGUUUGAAUCAAGUAUUUCAUUUUGCAGCAGUAAAAUGAGGCAGUAAUACAUUUUAUUCCAUGGUCACUAUGACAAAUUCCAUUGGUUAUUCUGAUGUGCUCCAUAUUCUUCUAAAAGUCACUAAGAAAAUUCAGCAAAUGUUUGUAGAAGCCAGAAGCCCCCAUUCCUAGCAUAAGCUC